AAGCCUCCAGAACAGUUGCUGCUGCGCUACCAGAUACACUCCCAGCCAAACACGACUGAGACAGACCCCCACCACCCACCAGCUGAUCUACAUUCGGUCGCGGGCAUGCUGGAGCCUAUCCCAACUAUCAUCUGGCAGGAAGCAGUUUUUGGGAUGUGGGGGGAAACCGGAGUGCCCAGACAAAAUCCACGCAGGCACGGGGAGAACAUGCAAACUCCACACAGGCGGGGGCGGGAUUGAACCCAGGUCCUCAGAACUGUGAGGCAGACGCUCUAACCAGUCGACACCGUGCCGCCCUGUACAAUAUUAGUGCCUAAUAAUAUCGAGGAAAUUACUAGCUUCACACAAAAUCCCAACUUUGUCCUCUCUCAACGUAUUAAACGCGCACAUUCACAUUAUUAGCCAGCAAGACACAGUGUUCUAUGUCCCCUUUUGUACACCUAUUUUUCUUCUUUAUACCAUUAUUAGUGUUGCUUUCUUUUUUUAGUCAGAACCAUUUUGUGUGUUUCCCUGUAGAUCCCUUGUAGAUGUCAUUAAAUAUACCAAAAAUUCCA